UUAGUACGAUGUACGAAAUAGAGCUAUAUAUAUCUAUUUAAGAAAGCGACAUAAAUAUAUGAAAUCUCAUGAUAAUUAAUAUGUAAAACAUGCACUAGUGCAGUGUUCACAUCAGAGCUUAUGGUACCGUCUGAAUUGUUCACGAGAACUGUUUACAUACUGUAAAAUGGAUGUGCGCAUUGUUACAGUUUCAAAGUAUUAUUUUUACGGAAGUGGCUUCUGUCGAGUAUAUAAGAACUUGGCGAUGAGUUUUCAAAGGGAUUUUAACAUUGUAUCGUGAACAUGCGAGACGAAAAUAAUUUAAAUUGAUGAAUUGGAUCUGUUUGCGCUCGGAUUAAGAAUGGCUUUAAGUAACUUGCGUGUAAGGAAACCUCGACAUACAACAACCGACUGUCCUAUUAGACCUCGGCUAAAUCUUCAACUUCAGGAAAUGAUUGACAUUUUACAACAAGGGAGACAAAACAAUCGAAUUGAGUUACCUCCUGCUUGCAUGAACUAUGAAAUGGUCCGACUAUUUACACUUGCUACAUACCCAAGGCAGGGAAAGCCAGACAUCCGGAGAUUUGCUACUGCUGGAUUUUACUAUGCAGGUUAUGAGGACGAAGUUCUAUGUUAUUGUUGCAAUUUGACUGAAAGUGGCUGGACCAUAAACGACAUCCCAACUGUGGUUCAUUUCAGAAAGUCUCCAAAUUGUGCAUUUUAUUUGAGAAAUCCAGAAGUAAAUUAUCCAUUUUUCGACUUGAUGGGUGAGGAGAGAUCGUUCAAUCAGGAGCAUUCACAAAUAAGCGUAAUUUGAACAAAAUUUCACAUUCAGUUUUUGUUUUGUGGUUUAGACGGAACUGCAUGAACACAAUUUAUCAUCUAUUCGAAAAAUGACAUAAGAGAUUUAUUUUGGUUGUGGAACUUUUCGCAUGUUCCAUUGAUUUAAUGUGUUUCAUUUUAUAAUGAAUAUGACUUCUGUCUCUUGGGUGAUUUUUUUAUAACGCAUAUUCAUCUUACAACAGGAUUAUUAUAUUUGUUCAAGUAAACCGCAUUAAGAUUAUUUGAAAACAACUUGGUGAAUCUACUUAACUGCGAAGUGAUAAGCAUGAAAGAAUGGAGUCAAUCUUUAACAUGACUUACAAAAGACUGUAAUUGUUAUGAUUGACGUAUCUGGUACUAUGAAAUUGCAAAAGUAGAAAAAUUAUUAUUCCUGAGUGUUUCAUUUAAAUCACAGGCAUGGACAGCAAAAACUUCUAACGAUGGGGAUUUUGCAGUUUCUAUUGUUGAACUUUUAAAUUUUAUAUGUAGUAUUAAACUUACGAAGAGAUUGUGAUAUUAUUAAAUGAAAUGUAUAAUGUA
rnacentral:lncRNA from 1 species